UUAUAUCAAGGUAAUAUCUAAAACAUAAAAUAUUUAUAAAAUCAAGUAAUGAUUACACGGAAGAAUAUUAAAAUACAAAGAUGAAUUAAUGGGGAUUAAAUUAGAAAUUAAACAGAAUUAAAGGGAAAAUAUCAAAAGUAGAAUAACAUGGCGGGUGAAAGCGUGACGUGCGGAUAACAUGGGGACCAAAUGGGAAAUAUUUCCCGUACCCCAAAACGCAACGUCUUAGCGCGGACCAAAUCGGAAUGAACUCAAAAAAGCAUGGCCAAAUUUAGAUGUAAUAUAGAGGUUUAUUGGAAGCCAAUACAAAAAAGAAGGACUAAGAGCGUAAAAAUCCCAUCAGACCCAAAACGGGCGGAUCCUGCCCUUGGGUCGGGUCACCGCGCGGGUCGAGGGCAAUCAGACGACAUUGUUUUGAAGCUAUCGCAUUAGCUACAAACGGCAACGUUUCAGAUCCUGCGAUUGAAACUAAAAUAAAAUCUUAAAAAACUUAACAUUUAUUUUGUUUUAAAACCUAAACUCUCUCUCUCGACGCCGCUCAACGGUUCAUCGUCUCUCUCAGAGACUCUUCGAACCAUGCCCCUAACUCCGAUGACAACGGAGAAAGAGCAACAGGUCCAGUCGAGAGGUACGGUGUACAGAGGUGUGGUCGUGGCUCGUACGGAGGCGAAGGUGCGCGCGUACAAAGGCUCGUCACGUGUGGAGGGAGAGCGAAUAGACGCUACUGCUGCGGCGCUGGGAACCCUUGUCGCUAGGGUUUCUGACUUCUGGUUUAGGCCAGUUGGGUUAGGGUAUUGGGCUAGGGGUAAUUGGCUUAGUGGGUUAUAUUUAGUUUGGGCCAUAUUAAGCCCAGUGUAAAUGGACAUUAAAAAUGGACUGUUUUUUUGGUUUAUUUUUGUUUAUUUAUUUUUGAUUUGGGGCCGGGCAAAUUUGGGCCACUACAGCUCAUUGUCCCUUCACUGACAAUUUGGGCAGCAAUUCUUUCAUUUGUAUGACAGUGCGUUAUAAGCAUUUUGUUGGUAGCGAGGUAACAUUAAUAUCUAUUUGUAGGACUUUUAUGUUCUAUUUUGUAACUUGUUGAAAGCAUAAAACAGGGGUAUAGAUGCACCUCAGAUGCUGAGGCUGUUCGGAAAAGAAGCAAAACAAGAGUUGGUUAAGCUUGUUCAUGGGAAAUGUUUGAAAGUGCUUGUCUACGGGGAAUAUCAAUACAGUUGUUGCGUUGCAGACGUAUACUACAAUGGCAUUUUUGUGCAGGAAGUACUACUAAAGAACGAACUUGCAUGGCAUUACGUAGCCUACGAUCAACGGGUUGAACUCGCAACCGUAAGUAAAUGACAAUCCUAUAUGUUCUUGCUCAUCGUUGAGUUAAAACUCGUGACUAUCGUCUUUGUACAUAUUAAUAUCCUUGGCAAAAAGAGGCUUGGGCAAAGAGAAUUGGCCUCUGGGUACAAUCAAACCUGAAGAAUCCAUGGGAAAGGAGGAAGAAGAACACACAAGAAAGUAGAUAUCACUGUCCUUAAGGAUCCAUAACAUCUUGAGAAGUGAUAAAAGAAUCAUAUUUGUGUAAAGAGCCAUGUUUGAUCCAUUCCUAUAUCUCUUGUAUGUAUGCAUUGCUUAUUAUUAUCAAAUGAUUGUCAAACAUAUAUAUGAUGUGUGCGUGUAUAUAUAUGCACAUUGCUUUUGAAACAUAGAUCUGCUCCUGAAAUUGAUCUCUAAGGG